rnacentral:lncRNA from 1 species
UCUCAUUUUAAUUAUAGUUAUAUAGAGAUAUUAAUCUAGUCACAGUCUCAAAAUGUCUUCUUCUGAUUGUCAGAUUUGUAAAUAUGCUUCAGCCCAAGGUCAGACUUCAUCACCACACAAAGUGGACCCGUGUCUUUCUGUGCCCUCCUCCCCAUCAUUCCACUUUCUCCACCCUUUCUCUCCUUCCUGCCAUGGACAUGAGUUUGCUUCCCCUCUUCUCCACAUGAUUUCCUCAUGCUAUUUGUUACCCCUUCCACACAGAGCUGUAGGACUCCUCCCUGCCAUGGCUGGGGAAUGGACACCACCCUUGUUGUCCAGACUGGUCCCCACCCAGCCACACGCACUGGGCACAUCACCCAGCCAGCCUGGGCAGCCAGGAACAGAGCAGGGUGCUGCUCUCAGAGUGCCCAGUGCCCAGCUCUCAGUGCCCAGUGUUCCUGAAGUGCCCANNNNNNNNNNCCCAGUGCCCAGCUCUCAGUGCCCAGUGUUCCUGAAGUGCCCAGCUCCCAGUGCCCAGUGCCCAGCUCUGCGGUGUCCAGUGUCCAGCACAGCUCUGCCUCCUCCUCCUCUCCUCCCACUGCCCCCAUGCUGGAGCAGCUGCCAGAGCUCAGCUUUUCCCAUGGCCAACCCCUGGUUCCCAGCAGGUUUUGUCACCAAAAGUCUCCUGCAGGACUUCAGGGCCAAGCCCAGCUGGCCACAGACAGCAAGGAUGCCCAUCCACAUCCAGUUUUGCAGCCCAGCUCCCUUCUCUCCACACGUGCUCUUGCUGCUGCACCUUCCUGUAGCCUUGGGAAGAUCCUAAUGGCUUUGGAACCUUCUUUUAACAGCACCCACAGCUCUCUGGUUCUUACAGUGCCUGGAAGACUGUGUCAUGUUUUCUGGAUCAGAUCCAUGGUGUUUAAGACCUUUCUUUGGCAAUGAAUAAUCUGCUUUGACAGUUCAUCUUUUCACCUUUGUGUCCAUUAAUAAACAUGUAAAGGAAAUGUCAUAUCUUAAAAAAAAAAAGCAAAAAUAGUGUUCAUCUAAGUGCAUGC